AGAGUUUGAUCCUGGCUCAGGAUGAACGCUAGCGGGAGGCCUAACACAUGCAAGCCGAGCGGUAUUGUUUCUUCGGAAAUGAGAGAGCGGCGUACGGGUGCGGAACACGUGUGCAACCUGCCUUUAUCUGGGGGAUAGCCUUUCGAAAGGAAGAUUAAUACUCCAUAAUAUAUUGAACGGCAUCGUUUAAUAUUGAAAGCUCCGGCGGAUAGAGAUGGGCGCGCGCAAGAUUAGCUAGUUGGUGAGGUAACGGCUCACCAAGGCAGUGAUCUUUAGGGGGCCUGAGAGGGUGAUCCCCCACACUGGUACUGAGACACGGACCAGACUCCUACGGGAGGCAGCAGUGAGGAAUAUUGGUCAAUGGGUGCAAGCCUGAACCAGCCAUCCCGCGUGAAGGACGACUGCCUAUGGGUUGUAAACUUCUUUUGUAUAGGGAUAAACCUUCCCACGUGUGGGAAGCUGAAGGUACUAUACGAAUAAGCACCGGCUAACUCCGUGCCAGCAGCCGCGGUAAUACGGAGGGUGCAAGCGUUAUCCGGAUUUAUUGGGUUUAAAGGGUCCGUAGGCGGACUUAUAAGUCAGUGGUGAAAGCCUGUCGCUUAACGAUAGAACUGCCAUUGAUACUGUAAGUCUUGAGUAUAAUUGAGGUAGCUGGAAUAAGUAGUGUAGCGGUGAAAUGCAUAGAUAUUACUUAGAACACCAAUUGCGAAGGCAGGUUACCAAGUUAUAACUGACGCUGAGGGACGAAAGCGUGGGGAGCGAACAGGAUUAGAUACCCUGGUAGUCCACGCCGUAAACGAUGCUAACUCGUUUUUGGGGCGCAAGCUUCAGAGACCAAGCGAAAGUGAUAAGUUAGCCACCUGGGGAGUACGCUCGCAGAGUGAAAACUCAAAGGAAUUGACGG
rnacentral:rRNA from 1 species